AAGCUGCCAAGGGAGCACAAGGAUUUUUCCGUACCGCUGUACAGAAAGGGAAAUGGCUUCAUUCACAUUGUCACACCAGAUUCUCAUUAGGGAGAAGAGCAUCCUCAACAGUAUGUGUUCCUGGUGCAGUUCACUUGAAGCGACAAGUGGUAGAGAUUUUAGAACUGUAUCUGAUCGAUCCCUCCCUUCCAAUCUGUUUUGCUGCACUGAAUGAAAAACUCGUGGUGGUUGUUUAGCUAAACCUGAGCAAAAUCAUGGCCUAUUCUUUUUUUCCCGUGAUCCCUUUAGCUUACUAGAUAUAUUCAAAAUAUGAUACCACGUUAUUAUUUCUCUUGAGAUCAUAGUUUACUGAACUACUUGAGAUGCCCUGCAUGUAUUUACUUGUGAGCAGAAACUUUAUUACUUCUAUACUGCAUGUUGCAGUUUCAGUUGAAACUAAAAGACCCUUUUCAUCUAGGGAUGACAUGCUGACACGAGGAGCUCCUAGAUGCCUUUGGAGCUGUCACCGGAGAGGACAGCACCAGUACUUCCUCGAGCAUGAGGUGUCCUGGGAUGGACACACUUGAAGGGUGCCAGUGAAUGUUUGCCGUUGGCUGGCUGGACUAGGUGGACUGAAACCACAUGCCCUGCGGCUAGUUCGUCCACCGGUAAGCGUUCUUCGAGCCUGCCAUGCGAGCCGUGUUCUCCGGUUUGUUGAUUUGGUGUGCAACCCUUGGCGAUUCAUUAAUUGCCGUGUUGUUUGUGUGCUAUAGUGCAAUCUGACUAUGAAUGUUGGUUUUGUCCGUGUGAAAAUAGCCACACAUUGCUAGAACCUGAUUCAUUCCCUUUUUGUCUUUUUCCCCUCCGGUAAGCGCUCUGCGAGUCGGCCCUGUGGGCCGUGUUGUGUGUGUUGUCUCCAACAUCAAACAGAUUUUUUGAUUUUGAUGUUACGUAUUUGUUGUGAAAAGCGGCCCUAAUCAGCUGGUUACUGCUGUUUUUCGGCCAAACCGCUUUGUA